AAAGUCGUAACAAGGUAACCGUAGGUGAACCUGCGGUUGGAUCAUUAACCAAAGCAUGGGUUGCUUAGAAUCGCCUUACGUGUACACGUCCACUUUUUCACGAAAGAGUGGAUGGUAUGCGUAUCCUUCGGGAACAUUGUGUGCACUGUUGUGUCUCUGGCGGCGGGGCAAGUAGUGGGCAUAUUCAAAGUAUGCUUCGAUUUUUGCCUGUCAGUCUGGUUGUAAAAAGCCAGGACCGUGGACAAACCGCCAAAUUAUUAAACAACUUAUAUUCUUCAACUUCAAUGUCUGACAUCAUGUUUAUAUUAAAUUAUACAAACAACUUUUGGCAACGGAUCUCUUGGCUCUC
rnacentral:misc_RNA from 1 species